GACGAACGCUGGCGGCAUGCCUAACACAUGCAAGUCGAACGGUAAGGCCCUCUGCUUGUGGAGUGCUCGAGUGUGGAACGCGUGUGUGACACGUGUGUAACCUGCCCUUGACUUUGGGGUAUCUUCUUGAAACAGGGGCUAAUAUCCCAUAUGAGUUCUUGCUCCAUGGUGUGGUUGGGAGAGUUUCGGCUGUUGUGGCUGUACUGGCGGGUUAUCCGCUUGUUGGUGGGGUAGUGGCUUACAAAGGCUACGACGGGUAGCCGGCCUGAGCGGGUGACCGGCGACAUUGGGACUGAGAGAGGGCGCAGACUCCUACGGGAGGCAGCAGUGGGGAAUAUUGCACAGUGGGCGGAAGCCUGAGGCAGCGACGCCGCGAGCGGAAUGACGUCCUUCGGGUUGUAAACAGCUUUAGCCUGUGACGAAGCGUGAGUGACGGUAAUGGGUAAAGAAGCACCGGCUAACUACGUG
rnacentral:rRNA from 1 species